UACGUAGGGGCCUAGCGUUGUCCGGAUUUAUUGGGCGUAAAGAGCUUGUAGGCGGUUUGUCGCGUCUGCCGUGAAAAUUCGAGGCUCAACCUCGAACUUGCGGUGGGUACGGGCAGACUAGAGUGUGGUAGGGGAGACUGGAAUUCCUGGUGUAGCGGUGAAAUGCGCAGAUAUCAGGAGGAACACCGAUGGCGAAGGCAGGUCUCUGGGCCACUACUGACGCUGAGAAGCGAAAGCAUGGGGAGCGAACAGG
rnacentral:rRNA from 1 species